GACGUAGGGGGCUAGCGUUGUUCGGAUUUACUGGGCGUAAAGAGCGCGUAGGCGGUUUAUCAAGUUGGGAGUGAAAGCCCGGGGCUCAACCUCGGAAUUGCUCUCAAAACUGGUAGACUAGAGUUCGGUAGGGGAUGAUGGAAUUCCUAGUGUAGAGGUGAAAUUCUUAGAUAUUAGGAGGAACACCGGAGGCGAAGGCGAUCAUCUGGACCGAUACUGACGCUGAGGCGCGAAAGCGUGGGGAGCAAACAGG
rnacentral:misc_RNA from 1 species